UACAGAGGUCUCAAGCGUUGUUCGGAUUCAUUGGGCGUAAAGGGUGCGUAGGUGGCGCCGUAAGUCGGAUGUGAAAUUUCGGAGCUUAACUCCGAAACUGCAUUCGAUACUGCGGUGCUUGAGGACUGGAGAGGAGACUGGAAUUCAUGGUGUAGCAGUGAAAUGCGUAGAGAUCAUGAGGAAGACCAGUGGCGAAGGCGGGUCUCUGGACAGUUACUGACGCUGAGGCACGAAGGCCAGGGGAGCAAACGGG
rnacentral:rRNA from 1 species